GCGGGUUUAGCUCAGUUGGGAGAGCGUCAGACUGAAGUCAGACUUCAAUCACUAUCAUUCGAUAUCUGAAGGUCGUGUGUUCGAUCCACACAAACCGCA
rnacentral:tRNA from 1 species